AUUAGGGCGUGAAUUAGAGAAGGGGGGUGGGGGUGUUGGCAGUUAUGUUACUGGCUUGCAGACCUAACAGGUGCCUUAUCAAUUAACUUCAAGG